rnacentral:rRNA from 1 species
UACGUAGGGCGCAAGCGUUAUCCGGAAUUAUUGGGCGUAAAGAGCUCGUAGGCGGUUUGUCGCGUCUGCCGUUAAAGUCCGGGGCUCAACUCCGGAUCUGCGGUGGGUACGGGCAGACUAGAGUGAUGUAGGGGAGACUGGAAUUCCUGGUGUAGCGGUGAAAUGCGCAGAUAUCAGGAGGAACACCGGUGGCGAAGGCGGGUCUCUGGGCCGAUACUGACGCUGAGGAGCGAAAGCGUGGGGAGCGAACAGG